UGAGUAAUGCCUAGGAAAUUGCCCUGAUGUGGGGGAUAACCAUUGGAAACGAUGGCUAAUACCGCAUGAUGCCUACGGGCCAAAGAGGGGGACCUUCGGGCCUCUCGCGUCAGGAUAUGCCUAGGUGGGAUUAGCUAGUUGGUGAGGUAAGGGCUCACCAAGGCGACGAUCCCUAGCUGGUCUGAGAGGAUGAUCAGCCACACUGGAACUGAGACACGGUCCAGACUCCUACGGGAGGCAGCAGUGGGGAAUAUUGCACAAUGGGCGCAAGCCUGAUGCAGCCAUGCCGCGUGUGUGAAGAAGGCCUUCGGGUUGUAAAGCACUUUCAGUCGUGAGGAAGGUAGUGUAGUUAAUAGCUGCAUUAUUUGACGUUAGCGACAGAAGAAGCACCGGCUAACUCCGUGCCAGCAGCCGCGGUAAUACGGAGGGUGCGAGCGUUAAUCGGAAUUACUGGGCGUAAAGCGCAUGCAGGUGGUUUGUUAAGUCAGAUGUGAAAGCCCGGGGCUCAACCUCGGAAUUGCAUUUGAAACUGGCAGACUAGAGUACUGUAGAGGGGGGUAGAAUUUCAGGUGUAGCGGUGAAAUGCGUAGAGAUCUGAAGGAAUACCGGUGGCGAAGGCGGCCCCCUGGACAGAUACUGACACUCAGAUGCGAAAGCGUGGGGAGCAAACAGGAUUAGAUACCCUGGUAGUCCACGCCGUAAACGAUGUCUACUUGGAGGUUGUGGCCUUGAGCCGUGGCUUUCGGAGCUAACGCGUUAAGUAGACCGCCUGGGGAGUACGGUCGCAAGAUUAAAACUCAAAUGAAUUGACGGGGGCCCGCACAAGCGGUGGAGCAUGUGGUUUAAUUCGAUGCAACGCGAAGAACCUUACCUACUCUUGACAUCCAGAGAACUUUCCAGAGAUGGAUUGGUGCCUUCGGGAACUCUGAGACAGGUGCUGCAUGGCUGUCGUCAGCUCGUGUUGUGAAAUGUUGGGUUAAGUCCCGCAACGAGCGCAACCCUUAUCCUUGUUUGCCAGCGAGUAAUGUCGGGAACUCCAGGGAGACUGCCGGUGAUAAACCGGAGGAAGGUGGGGACGACGUCAAGUCAUCAUGGCCCUUACGAGUAGGGCUACACACGUGCUACAAUGGCGCAUACAGAGGGCGGCCAACUUGCGAAAGUGAGCG
rnacentral:rRNA from 1 species